GUGCCAGCCGCCGCGGUAAUACGGAGGGUGCAAGCGUUAUCCGGAUUCACUGGGUUUAAAGGGUGCGUAGGCGGGCAUAUAAGUCAGUGGUGAAAUCCCCGAGCUUAACUUGGGAACUGCCGUUGAUACUAUGUGUCUUGAAUAUCGCGGAGGUAAGCGGAAUAUGUCAUGUAGCGGUGAAAUGCAUAGAUAUGACAUAGAACACCGAUUGCGAAGGCAGCUUACUACACGAUCAUUGACGCUGAGGCACGAAAGCGUGGGGAGCAAACAGGAUUAGAAACCCGCGUAGUCC
rnacentral:rRNA from 1 species